rnacentral:rRNA from 1 species
UACAGGGGGUGCGAGCGUUAAUCGGAAUUACUGGGCGUAAAGCGCGCGUAGGCGGCUUUGCAAGUCGGGUGUGAAAUCCCCAGGCUUAACCUGGGAACUGCAUUCGAGACUGCAUUGCUAGAGUAUGGGAGAGGGAAGUGGAAUUUCCGGUGUAGCGGUGAAAUGCGUAGAUAUCGGAAGGAACAUCAGUUGCGAAAGCGGCUUCCUGGACCAAUACUGACGCUCAUGUGCGAAAGCGUGGGGAGCAAACAGG